UACGGAGGAUCCGAGCGUUAUCCGGAUUUAUUGGGUUUAAAGGGUGCGCAGGCGGGGGAUUAAGUCGGCGGUGGAAUUUUGCAGCUCAACUGUAAAAGUGCCUUCGAAACUGGUUUCCUUGAGUGUAGAUGAAGUAGGCGGAAUUUGUGGUGUAGCGGUGAAAUGCAUAGAUAUCACGAGGAACUCCGAUUGCACAGGCAGCUUACUAAACUACUACUGACGCUCAGGCACGAAGGCGUGGGGAUCAAACAGGAUUAGAUACCCUGGUAGUCCCU
rnacentral:rRNA from 1 species